UUUCCUCGAUCUCUCCUCCUCUCUUAUCUUCCUCUCUCUCCUCAAACAAACCCUAAUCAACAAAGGAAUCGGGAAGUAGACGAAGAUGAAGACCUAGAUUGAACGUUGUUCUUGGCCUAAAUUUGGUGAUGUUGUUCAUGAAGAAAUCGGCGCUUGUCAAACUAUGGUUUCUACUGAAGAAAUCGGCCUUGAACAACAUGCUGCUCUUGGUUUGCUUCAAUUUCGCUUCCUUUUGGUUUGGAAUUUGUUUUUUUUUUUUUUGUUGUUCUUAAUUUUGAUCUUCGUUGCGAUUGAUGAAUUGUUGGUUGAUUUUGUUGUUGUUGUUUUAGGGUUGUCGAAUCUGGCUGUGUUAUUGGAUUGAUUUUUUAUGGAUUUACUCGUGAAUUUGUUCUAUGUUUGAGUGAUUUUUGCCAAUUGAGGUUAAUUGGAAGAAAUUAAGGGUUUCCUGAUUUCUCAAGCCUGUUUGUGGAAUUUUGGGGGAAUUGGAGAUGGAUAGGGGUUGCGGUGAUGGUUUCAUGGGGGCGGUGGUGGGUGUGGUGGUUGCGGUGGUGUUUUCGUGGUUGUUGGGUUGUUAGUUUUAUUUGUGGUUUGAAUCAAUUGAAUUAUGAUGUUUGAUGUUCUGGUGAGUUGCAUACAUUUGAUGUUCUGGUACCGUGUUAACAUGUGAUGAUCCAUCCUCGGCACCUUGCAGCCUUGUAGGACUAUAAGUGAUAAAUUAAUUCCCUUGAAGUAUCUAGCCCUUGUUGUUCUUGCUUAAUACUAAGGUGAUUGAAGAUCUAGAAUUUUGUUGGCCAGAAUUUAGAACUGCAUGGUCUGGUGGCUGUCUCUAUGCUUGUUUGGUGGUUACAGCUAUUAAAGCUUAGCUCACUUCAAUUUUAUGGUUAAACUGUAGUCUAAGAUUGACUUAGAGUUUUUGUAUCUUUAUACAUGUUUAGACCAUAGGUAAAGCUUAUCAAUGUCAUUCUUCUUUUCUUCUCUAUUCUCAUAUGUGUUUCUCUUGCUUGACCUCAAAGCAAAGGUACCCAAACACUUUGUAGUCACACUAAUGCACACCUUCCAUACGAGAAGCACUCUACCCCCCAUGACCCUUGAUAAUUUAUAAGAUGUUGGUUUAAUGGCCAAUUAUUUUGCAACUUGUCUCCGGGUGUAAGUUUUCGAACAAUCUAAUUGGUGGAAAAUUAGUAAAUUAAUUUGUGGAUAACGACGUACCCGGCCUUUGAUUGUUUGUCUCCAAGCUUCCGUAUACCUUGCAUUGCCUGCUGAUUACUUACCAUUCAAUUACCCCUGCUGAUGAUUACUUACCAUUCAAUUUCUCCCCCCACCUCCACCCUCAUUCUCACUCUGCUCAACCAAAUAGAAAAGAGCUUAAGUAUCAUCCUUGCAAGAGUUACAACCACAAUACAUCUUUCGUUGUUAGCGGAAAUAAUCAUUGCUUACUGAACAGUGUGCACAUCUCUUUGACGAAAAGCUUCCUCGAGUUCCUAUCUAAGCCAUCCAUCUCCUUAUUUGACAAUUUCUAGCCAGUUCUGUAUGUUUGCAUUCUUAAGUCACUAUGCCUUCUAGUAUCAUGGAAAAUCAGCAUUAAAUGUCAUUGUUCCCCACGAUGAUGCUGGAAGAGCAUUGAAAGUUCCAAUCUUCACUUGUCCGCAAUCUCCUAGUUCUCACCACCACCUUUUUUUUCCGAUCGAAGACCUUGAUUAGUCUUACUGAGAUUUAAUCAUUAAUUAUUAAUCAUUAUAGACCUUAAUGGGGUUUUAUAAAUAUGUUUAUUUAUUUAUUUUUAUUUGGGAAGUUUAGUAAUUUUUUCAUUUUAUUUUAUUCUAUUUUUAUCAACUUGGUUGGUUCAUUUUCAAUAUUCUGAUAUUGCUGGUGUUAUAAAGGUCUGAUAUGUUUGUGAGUUCACAAGUUGACCGAUUAGCAAAGCCUCCUGUUUGCAAAAUCAUGGACUAUAACCGGGAACGGUACAAGAAACAAGUUAGAGAAAAAGAGCGUGCUAAGAUAAAGAUAGACAACAGGCUACUUGAAGUCCAAAAGCUUGACAAAUUUGAUGUGGAAGGGGCAAUUCAUGCUUAUUAUGAUAUUGUUUCCCAGCCUUGCAAGAUAUGUAAAGAUUCCGGUGAAGAAAGGCAAUUAGGAAAGUAUAACUCUCUGCAUUCAAUCCCUGUAGAUGAAAGUCUGAAGAUUAUAAGGGACUACUUGAUAGCUGCAACAGCCAAGAACUGUAGUUUAAUGAUUAGUUUCCAUCCAAGGGAAGAUGAUGAUCAAGAAUCACAUUAUAGGACAAUAUAACUGGAUUCAACAAAGCAAAGGUUUGAUAUCCAGGUUCCAAUCAGAGAAUAUUGAGCACAAUAAACCAUGUUUGAGCGGGUCAGUGAAAUAUAGCAGCCCGAAAAAGAUGCACCACAGCACAACUAGCGCUUGCAUAGGUCCAUCACCAGGGAGCUGAUGUGUGUUCCAUCCCUGGAACCACUAAGAUUGAUAACCUCAACCAGAACAUUGGAGCCUUAUCUGUGAAGCUUACUCCUGAAGAGAUUGCUGAGCUAGAACCCUUUGCCUAUGUAGACAGCGUUAAGGGCCAUCGAUAUGCUACACCUCAAGCAUCUCCUGUGCCUAGUUCACUGGGUUCUGGGAUGCCUACAGCAUCACAAAAUCUUGGUUAUAGAGGACCUUUACCACCUAACCAGAACAUGCAGCAACAAUAUUUCCCAUCUCCAGGGAACCAAUUGACGAGGCCUGCUCAAGGUCUGCCAUUUAGCUCUGCUUCACAUCCUAUUCAAAGUGGUCAUGGUCUUCAAAAAUUCAUUUCUCUAGACCUUGAUUUUGUAGUGUUUUUUUUUAAGUAUUUUAAAGUGUAAUAUUACAAGUUAUUGAAGAAAAUAUGUGU